GCAAUGGGCGAAAGCCUGACGGAGCAACGCCGCGUGAGUGAUGAAGGUCUUCGGAUCGUAAAACUCUGUUAUUAGGGAAGAACAUAUGUGUAAGUAACUGUGCACAUCUUGACGGUACCUAAUCAGAAAGCCACGGCUAACUACGUGCCAGCAGCCGCGGUAAUACGUAGGUGGCAAGCGUUAUCCGGAAUUAUUGGGCGUAAAGCGCGCGUAGGCGGUUUUUUAAGUCUGAUGUGAAAGCCCACGGCUCAACCGUGGAGGGUCAUUGGAAACUGGAAAACUUGAGUGCAGAAGAGGAAAGUGGAAUUCCAUGUGUAGCGGUGAAAUGCGCAGAGAUAUGGAGGAACACCAGUGGCGAAGGCGACUUUCUGGUCUGUAACUGACGCUGAUGUGCGAAAGCGUGGGGAUCAAACAGGAUUAGAUACCCUGGUAGUCCACGCCGUAAACGAUGAGUGCUAAGUGUUAGGGGGUUUCCGCCCCUUAGUGCUGCAGCUAACGCAUUAAGCACUCCGCCUGGGGAGU
rnacentral:rRNA from 1 species